UUUGCAUGGUGGAAUAAUACAAGGUGUUGGAUAUUGACAGCGUUCUCGCUCUAAUCCGCCAUCUUGGCUCCCUUAGCUAUAUCGGUGUUUCCCUCUUGAAAAAACUACAUUUUAUCGCCUUUAAAAAAGUACUAAACUACCUCAUUCCCUAUUCCAAAACUGAUUUGCAAUCACUGAACAAUUCUUUGACAUUUACUCUAUUCUUAUCGUUGGCAACUGAAAAUUAAAUUAGAAAUUUCAACAUUAAUUCGGCAAAAAAACAUCGGUUUAGAGUUCUCCCCAAGGAUUUGUAGUUAUUUUGGUCGGUGCUUCCUUCCGCUGCAAUUCCGUCUGUGGUUCACUGCCACUGGCCUUGCUUUUUCAACGAUAUAACUGUUUUCUUGUGAUUUUUGCUGCUGCAAUCCCGUCUGUGGUUCACUGCCACUGGCCCUGCUUUUCCAACGAUAUAACUGUUUUUUUGGUAACUUCUACCGCUAAGACUUUGUUGCUUUUUCCCUUUUCCCUAAAAACAUAAUAGUGCUACAAAGCUCAAUAACAAUAUGGAAACAAAUGUUAAUAAGCCACAAUAAUAUUGACAAUAAAUAAGAUUUCACUACGAUUGAAUUUUCUAUUAGUAACAGGGUAGUUAUAGUGAAUGUUUUAUUCGAUAACUAAAACUAUAUUUGAUGUUUGUAGCGAUAAAAAUAUGCCUAAAUCAGCCAAAUACCCUAUGUGGGUCGGCUGAAUCAGUAAAACGUGACAGUAGUUGACUUUUGAGGUUAAUAUAUCGGUCUUGAGUUGGUAAGGUUUUUAAAACAUCCGCAGCUUCCUUUAAAGCAUCGCUGCUAAUUGCUGAGAGGAC
rnacentral:lncRNA from 1 species